rnacentral:rRNA from 1 species
GACGAACGCUGGCGGCGUGCUUAACACAUGCAAGUCGAACGGAAAGGCCCUGCUUUUGUGGGGUGCUCGAGUGGCGAACGGGUGAGUAACACGUGAGUAACCUGCCCUUGACUUUGGGAUAACUUCAGGAAACUGGGGCUAAUACCGGAUAGGAGCUCCUGCUGCAUGGUGGGGGUUGGAAAGUUUCGGCGGUUGGGGAUGGACUCGCGGCUUAUCAGCUUGUUGGUGGGGUAGUGGCUUACCAAGGCUUUGACGGGUAGCCGGCCUGAGAGGGUGACCGGCCACAUUGGGACUGAGAUGCGGCCCAGACUGCUACGGGAGGCAGCAGUGGGGAAUAUUGCACGAUGGGCGGAAGCCGGAUGCAGCAACGCCGCGUGCGGGAUGACGGCCUUCGGGUUGUAACCCGCUUUCGCCUGUGACGAAGCGUGAGUGACGGUAAUGGGUAAAGAAGCACCGGCUAACUACGUG